UACGUAGGGUGCGAGCGUUAAUCGGAAUUACUGGGCGUAAAGCGUGCGCAGGCGGUGAGCUGUGUCCGAUGUGAAAGCCCCGGGCUUAACCUGGGAAUGGCAUUGGAAACUGGCUCGCUGGAGUGUGGCAGAGGGGGGUGGAAUUCCGCGUGUAGCAGUGAAAUGCGUAGAGAUGCGGAGGAACACCGAUGGCGAAGGCAGCCCCCUGGUCUAACACUGACGCUCAGGCACGAAAGCGUGGGGAGCGAACAGG
rnacentral:rRNA from 1 species